CCUACGGGAGGCAGCAGUGGGGAAUAUUGCACAAUGGGCGCAAGCCUGAUGCAGCCAUGCCGCGUGUAUGAAGAAGGCCUUCGGGUUGUAAAGUACUUUCAGCGGGGAGGAAGGUGUUGUGGUUAAUAACCGCAGCAAUUGACGUUACCCGCAGAAGAAGCACCGGCUAACUCCGUGCCAGCAGCCGCGGUAAU
rnacentral:rRNA from 3 species